rnacentral:rRNA from 1 species
GACGAGGGGUCCUAGCGUUGUUCGGAAUCAUUGGGCGUAAAGCGUAUGUAGGCUGCCAUUCAAGUCAGUUGUGAAAUCCCCGGGCUUAACCCGGGAAGUGCUUCUGAUACUGUUUGGCUUGAGUACUGGAGAGGAUAGUAGAAUUCCUGGUGUAGUGGUGAAAUACGUAGAUAUCAGGAGGAACACCGGUGGCGAAGGCGGCUUGCUGGGCCUUACCUGACGCUGAGGAGCGAAAGCGUGGGGAGCGAACAGG